rnacentral:lncRNA from 1 species
GCAAAAUUCUUCAGCCACCAUUGAGAAGAAAUCCUCUCCUUGCUUGAAGCCAGAUUUCUGGUACCUUGAGGCUAGAAGAGAUUUUUAGAUGGUGAAAACUCCUAUUGGUGAGGGGUGGGGGGGUGCCUAGAGAGGGAGGUUAAAUAACAGGCCCAGAAGAUGGCACGUGGCAAAGCAGUCCCAGCGCUGAAGGUGGGGUCCACUGAUUUCUCCAGCUCUCAACACACAUGCUCACGCUCUGUCUCUGUCUCUGUCUCUCUCUCCCCCUUGAUCAUCUUCAAAAGGGACAGUCUUUGGAGGGCCUAGGAAAAAAACAGCAAAUCUCUGAAAGAGAUGAAGAUUGGCAACUUGUCCACCAGCUUCCCUCCCUUUCUUCCUUCCAGCCUUCCUUCCUUCCCCCCUCCCCCACUUCCUUCCUUUCUUCCUUUCCUUCUUUCUUUCUUUUAGGAUAUUCAGUACUAUGACUUUACCUAGAAAAUAGGAAAAAAAAAAGAGAGAGAAGACAAUCAGAUAUCAAUUUAAACAAACAAAGCAAAUAAGGAAAACUGCUGUUUAAAGAGAAGGACUUGGGUGUGUGUGUCUCUGUGUGUGUGUGUCUGUGUCCAGGGCCCUGUGUCUCUUUGGAGCAAGCUAAAUAAAAAUAUAAGUGGCCUUCCCAUUAAGUGAAACCUAUAGAACAAGGCCUUCUUUACCUAUUCCCGUCCUUAAAAACCAUGAAAGUCAGUGCGGGGGCAUAUGAUUCAGUCCGCCGGGACUCUGCUCUGCCCUUUAUUCUGCGGGAUCAUCCCAUCUCCUUUAGGCUUCUCUCAGCCCUCCCCAGGCCUUGCCAAGUCGUCUCUCUUCCAUUAUUAGUCAUUCUAAUAAACACUUCUAAUAAACACAGAUCCAGGAUGGUACUUGUGGCUCCUCUGCUGCCUCUCGGAAAGACUGAUACCUGCAUUAACUUUGUCAUCGGUCCUGAAGAAACCCAGCUGAGAUCUCUAAUAUACUCUGUUGCAAGUGGCAAUAUAAUGGACAUACUUAGUGUACGUUCUCUUGUUAAAUGGAAUCUGUUGCCUAAGUGAACUGAAAAUGCUUAAUUAUUAAUAAGUCCCCCAGGGAUUGAUGACAUUUGGGAUGAUUUUAUCAUGCUGUAGAUAUUUCACAACAUAAUGCAUAUGGUGGGAUCUAAUUCAGCUUCUUUCAUUUAAAAGAACAUUCCCUCCCAAUUCAUUUUGACUUCGAUGCCACGUGGAUUCAUUUCUGAACAUCCAGCCCCUCUCGGAGGUGGAGGGAAGUGUCUAAGGGAUGGGACCGAAGCUGGGGCAGGGCAGGGGAGGCCAGGAAGAGGAACCAGGAACUGCCUCUUGGGAGUUGGAAUUGGUUUGGAGUAGACUCCAAAUGAGAGGCUUCUGUUCAGGUAGAGGCAGUGUGUUUCCAGAUGGAAGUUUCUGGAAGGAUCACAGGUGUAGGGAUCACAGGACUAGGUGGGUGAUGCAAGGCUUCCAGUUUUUCACCAAUUUGCUGUGUGACUCUGAACAAAUUACUUAACCUUUCAGAGACAGGGUUUUCCCAUAUAUUUGGGAGGGUUAGUUACAUGCCCCUUAGUGAAUUUACUGAAUGUGAACAUACUUCCAACAAUUAAAAAGCACUUUAUAAGGAAUAUAUUUGAAGAUGAGGAAGAAAGAAAUAGCAUUUCCUAAGCACCCUCUAAGUUAUGUUCCACAUUUUUAUAAAUGUAAAGUAGAUUAGUCUUAGCAAAAAAGAAAAGGUAGAGAUGGGCCUGAUUGUCCCAUUUACAGAAGAGAAAGUAGUGGUGGACCAGGUGAACAACCUAGAGAUAAGGUAUGUAUCUGAGUGCACAAUAUGUACAAGGAAAAUAGGUCAUAACCUUAAUUUUUAAGUAGAAAUAUUCAGUCAACCUAAGCCUUUGGUUGACUUCUGUGUGGUGAUAUGCAUUAUCACAACAUGUGAACAUUCCCAUGAAAUUUUAAUUAUUUUGUCAUCAACUUAUUUCUCUGCACAUUUUUGAUGUUAAGGAAGGAAAAAUCUCUCAGUGUCAGAAAUAGGUUAUUAAAUAAAGUAAGCCUGCAGGAGGUCCUGCCAUUAGAUUUAUAUGAUCUUGAUCUGUUAGUGCCGGGCAGACCGGUCCUGUGGAGCGUUCCACUCACUACCUCCUUGUUUCUGGCACAUCAUUGUGAGUCUCUGCCUCUGGCGGUAAGGCUGGUCUCUCCUCCGUUUCUGUUCAGACCUCGGGCUGUGCCGGCAAUGGUGGAGAUCCCAUUUGCAUUCAGGUGCUUUGCACACUGGGGGUUCUGGUUUGCCAUGUUCUGCCUGGAGAUGGAGUUAUUGAUGGCUGUUUAUCUGAGAGACAAAGUGGAGCAGGGCUCAGAGCAGGAGACCAGAAGCCAGUCCAUCACCUGCUCGCUCGCUGACCUCACUUCACCUCUUCAUGCUUCAGUUUCUCCAUCUGUUGGUGGAAAGAGUGAUACAUGAUACCUGGCUCUCAGAGUGUCAGGAACAUCUUUGUAAAACACUGGGAGAUGCUACAAGUGACUCUUUUGACUUCAUGCUUCCCUUUAUGUGGUCAAAUAAAACCCCAUCCGAUGGGCGAAAAAUUGCAGACCGCAUGUAGUUUUUCAAUAAGAAGCUAGUCUUAUACCUGAAGAAGUAAUUGCAUUUCUUUAUUGAUCAGUGGAUGGUGUACCAUGAAACCCAUGUCAAUGGCAUGACCUAAAUAUUUGUUUAAAUAAUAAAUCAAUAAGCCUAAGCAUGUGCAGGAUACACGCAUGGCUGCUAUUAUUUAUACUAGUUUACUUUCCUCCUUCCAAAUGCAUUUCCACUACUUUUAAUAUUCAGAGUGUGCUUGUUCUUACCACACAUACACACACACGCGUGCGUGCAUGCACACACAUGGUAGGAUAGCAGCAAGAUGGUAUCAUCACUCCUAUUUUAUAGAUGAGAAAACUUAAACCGGGAGAAGUAAAUGGAUCGUCAAGUCCACAUGGACAAUUAGGGGCAGAGUUAGGCAAAUAUAAGUCUCCUGUCUCAAAUUCUGGUGCUCAGCCUUCUCAGCCUCAUUUUUUUUAAUCAUCCUGGAGACUGGACUUUUUUCUUCUCUGUUCUUGUACAUCUUUUGCUCCCCACUUACUGAUGUAACAGGGCUGUGGGUACCUUCUCCCACCCCUUCUCUGGGAACAGAGCCUUCCAAAGCAACGCAUUCCUCCCGUCCUCCAGCAAGGUCUGCAGUGAAGUGAGAGCUCAGACAUGCCUGCUUGUUAAGCUGGUUCCUCCUUGCAAGCCUGAAGAAAAACUUGCCCCAGAUCACAUUGCCCCGUCCCCGAGACCUCCCAACUGCUCUAAGUGGAGGAGCCAGUCAAGCUGCACAAGUCAGCUUUGGGCUGAAAGAGCCUGGUGGUGAUGCUCUCACAGACGCAUUCGCUUUGUAUGUGCUUCUCAAGUGUAUCCAGGCUUAAGAAUCAGAAGCGAAAGCGUGGGCUGCACACCAAAAGAGCACUUUAAGCUGGUGUUUUGUUUUGUUGUUUUUUUUUUUUUUCCCUGUGAGGAAUUGAAUUGCAAAGAUGAUCAGAGACUGACGAAGAAACUGAGAAAAGCUGCAGCUGAUGAGACACCAACUCCAUUGUUGACACACAUUUAAGAGUGACUAGUUGUCUGCCUGCCCUUCGCCCAUCCAGGUUGCUUUGAAAUUCCUUCCCAGGAAGCACCCCAUGGCAGGCAUCGC